rnacentral:rRNA from 1 species
GGAGGUAGUGACAAUAAAUCUCAAUACGAAGCCUUUGGUUUUGUAAUUGAAUUGAGAACAAUGUACAAUCGUUAUCGAUAAACAAUUGGAGGGCAAGUCUGGUGCCAGCAGCCGCGGUAAUUCCAGCUCCAAUAGCGUAUAUUAACGUUGUUGCAGUUAAAAAGCUCGUAGUUGAAGUUAAGAUAGCUGUUUUGAACUAAUUUGUAUUCGUACAUAUUGGUUCGUUGUAGCUAUCGACUUCCAGAUAGGUGUUUCGAUUCUUUCGGGAAUGGGGAUGCUAGACUGGUCAUUUACUGUGAGAAAAUUAGAGUGUUUAAAGCAGACUUUGUUGUAGUAGUUUGAAUAGAUUAGCAUGGAAUAAUAAGAUUGGCUUUCAUAGUCGAUUUUUUGGUUUGUUUAUGAAAGCAAGAUUAAUAGGGACAGUUGGGGGUAUUCAUAUUCAAUAGCUAGAGGUGAAAUUCUAUGAUUUAUGGAAGAUGAACAAGUGCGAAAGCA